CACGUAGUUAGCCGGGGCUUCUUGGUCAGGUACCGCCAUCUUCUUCCCUGCCGAUAGGGCUUUACGCGCCGAAACGCUCCUUCACCCACGCGGCGUCGCUGCAUCAGGGUUCCCCCCAUUGUGCAAUAUCCCCCACUGCUGCCUCCCGUAGGAGUCUGGGCCGUGUCUCAGUCCCAGUGUGGCCGUCCACCCUCUCAGGCCGGCUACUGAUCGUCGCCUUGGUAGGCCGUUACCCUGCCAACCAGCUAAUCAGACGCGGGCCCAUCCUGUACCACCGGGGUUUUCCGCGCCGUGCCAUGCGGCACUGCGCGCUUAUGCGGUAUUAGCACCUGUUUCCAGGUGUUAUCCCCCAGUACAGGGCAGGUUGCCCACGCGUUACUCACCCGUCCGCCACUCGCGCGACGCCGCAGGGGCCGAGGCCCCUGCCGCACGCCGCGCCCGUUCGACUUGCAUGUGUUAGGCACGCCGCCAGCGUUCAUCCUGAGCCGAGUCAACACU
rnacentral:rRNA from 1 species